UUUGCCUGCAGUCAACUGGAGCCAGAACUUCUCAGAGGGAGAUGGGGAGUCCUGGUGGAUGUGUGCCUAUGGCCACCCUCUGCCAGAGCUGCUCCGUGCUUAAAAGCCCCUGGGCUCCAAGUGGGCUGAAGCCCUACCUCUACCUACUCUCCAGGCACAUCCUCCUGCCAGCUCAAACACCCAUGGAAGAAGUGGGGGCUCUGUAGCUAGGAUCCCAGAGGUCUGUAGUGAGAGUGAGCUGUAUAUCAGUCCCUUCAUUCACUCCUUGCCUGGGAGCUGUUGAAGGCCAGGAACUAGCCCUAGCAUUCAGGUACCCCAAUGUUCCCAGCUUCCUCCCUCUUCAGCCUCUGAGUCUGCAUUGCUUCUCCAUCCGCUCCAGGAACCCCAUCCGUAGGUCACCAACAUCAAAGACCAAAAAUAGAUAAAUCCAUGAAGACGAGGAAAAACCAGCACAGAAAGACUGAAAAUUCCCCAAACCAGAACGCCUCUUCUACUCCAAAGGAUCGCAACUCCUCACCAAUAUGGUGACCAUGAGAGUGAAAGCCACACCCUGAGGCUGAAGGUGAAGAAAAUGCAAGGAGACUGGAGUAUUGAAGGCAUUGUGGAGUGGCUGCACUGGUCCUGAGGUGUCAACCUCAAAAUCUUUACUCAGAUAGAGAAAGAGUAACUCUUCUAUGAGCAUUCUCUGCAGUGAAAAAGAUCACUGGAUUGGAAAUGAAGAGCUGAGUUAUCAUAUCAUCUUUACAAUAAAUUGCUUUGUAACAUAAGGGGAGUUCCUUAUUUUGUUUGUAUUUAAAUUUCCUCAGUAAUUAAAGAAGCAAGUUAAUGCAUAU
rnacentral:lncRNA from 1 species